AGAAAAUUUUUGUUAACAAGUGAAUGAAGAGUGGUCUAAGAUUUUCCCACUUAAGUCACAGAAAUUUACCAACAUGAUAUUCCACAAUAUUUGUUGUAAGCUAAGUCUUCUAAUAUGUUUUCUAUAGAAUUCAAUAUUUUUGGAUCACUAAAUGCAGAUAACAAGAAGAACCAUGUCUUCUCCACUAAGAAGCACAAACAUGCAAACACAAACACGCCGUGAUUUUUCAAAAAAGUAGGACAAGGGCACGUCGUUUUGAGAUUUUACGUUUAUAUAUUAUGUCCUUAUUUUUAUAAUUCAUAAAUUCAGUACUUUUUCUAGAUUUGAUUUUAAUUGGUGAAAUCUUUUAUAUUGUUUGAGUCUUUUUAUUUUAUUUAAAUAAGUUUGAGCUACACUAUAAAUACCAGCAUCAGAAAAAGAAAAAUGCAUAUAGCAGGUGUAAAACAUGUCCUUGGAAUGUCCGAGGAAUGUCGGACACGGAAGUCUCGGAGAGAUAAAUGGAGGGUCUGUGUCAUGUUGCCUUUUGCCAUUGGCUUUUGGUUACAUUGAAUUUAAUGUUUUAGCACAUUUGUGUUGAUGUGACAUGGACAUGAGAUGGAGGAUUGGAUUAUGGUGAAACCAACUUUUAUUUAUUUUUCUUGGUUAUCUUGAUGAUUCUAUCUACAUUAGUUGUGUUUGAAAAGUCUACUAAACCAUGUGAGAAAAAGUCAUGCACCCACUACCCUUUGUAAGAAAAGCUUUUCUCAAGAAAUUUAAUUAUUGAAUUCAAUAUGACACCAUGAUUUACAGUAUAAUUCAUCCCAGCAAUUAAGAAUAUUCACCCAGCAUAAUUUUCCUUCAGCCAUAUUAUCUUACUCAAGUAAGGGUGAGCUGGUCAACCCUCCAUUUUGAGUGGUCAGAGUCAUCCAUGAACAUUAACCAUAGUAGAAGAACUUAACGUGUAUAAAUAAAAUUGACCAUAAGCAAUGGUAUCAUGCCAAGACCACAUCUAAUCGCGUGUAUCAUUAUUUUCCGCGAUUCAUUGACUUUGCGCAAAUUGCAUUGUUCAAUGAGAUUCAUCCAUUUGCCAAUAGCAGUUCAAAAAAUUCGCCUGCAUUUUCUGGAUCAGUCAAGUAACGUACCAUUGCCAAAGUGAAAUAAGUCUAUCACCAAAAAGACCUUGUAAGGCCUGUGUGGGUAUUUUGGCAAGCAAAUGAAGGAAAAAGAAAGUAGAAAUCCUUCCAUGUGUGCAUAUACUCAAAGUACCAGACAGUAGCAUUCUUCCAUGUUUCCCUUUUCUGGAAUAUAGAUCAAACAAAACCUCUUUCGACGCUACAACAACUUCAAAUAAAGUAACACCUCUCCAAAUAAAAUUUCUGAAGAUAAACAAUUAUUUUCUGUUUUCCUUUUCUGUGUCAGUAUUCAGUCAACUAGUGUUUUAUUAUUAUUUCUUUUACCUAACUAUGUAUUUAUUAUUUGCUUGAAUUUUUUUUCCCCAGGGGUGGAUAAGCGUUGCAAGAGCAGAGAAAAAUAGAAAAUAAAUACAACUUAC
rnacentral:lncRNA from 1 species